AUAGUCACUUUAAGCUUUGCUACAAAGCUGGAAGCAAACAUUCUAAACGGAGAAUGUGAGUGUUUAAAGCCGAAUGAGAUGAAAACUCAAUGCAUGUUGGGACACAUGGGAAACAAACGCACGAGGACUCAUCCUGAGGGAUUUACAGUCUAAUAAGGGAGACAAGAUUUGUAUGGCAAACUUAUGGUACUCAUUCUGGAAGGGGCUGCUCCCUUUCUCCUCUCCAUGGAUUCCUGAGGACAUUUCUCCUAUUACUCAGCAUCCUGCCCAACAGUACAAUCAAAAGAAGACAAUUUUCAUUUACCUAAAUCUUUCAGAUUGCCGGAGGUGAAUUGAGGUUUGAAGUGGGGUUUAUUAAUAGAAGAGGUAUCUAUAAAGCCCCUUUGAACAGCAUUGGCAAGAGGACCCUAUUGCCAGCUGUGCUUUCCUCACUGCUGGAAAUAAAGGCUAGAGAGAAGAGUGGAGCA
rnacentral:lncRNA from 1 species